AUUGAACGCUGGCGGCAUGCCUUACACAUGCAAGUCGAACGGUAACGCGGGGGCAACCCUGGCGACGAGUGGCGAACGGGUGAGUAAUACAUCGGAACGUGUCCUGUUGUUGGGGGAUAACCCAUCGAAAGGUGAGCUAAUACCGCAUGAUCUGGAGACAGCAAAGCAGGGGACCGGUAACGGCCUUGCGCGAUUGGAGCGGCCGAUGUCCGAUUAGCUAGUUGGUGGGGAAAGGCCCACCAAGGCAACGAUCGGUAGCUGGUCUGAGAGGAUGAUCAGCCACACUGGGACUGAGACACGGCCCAGACUCCUACGGGAGGCAGCAGUGGGGAAUUUUGGACAAGUGGGGGCAACCCGUGAUCCAGCCAUGCCGCGUGAGUGAAGAAGGCU
rnacentral:rRNA from 1 species